rnacentral:rRNA from 1 species
GACGAACGCUGGCGGCGUGCCUAAUACAUGCAAGUCGAACGAGAGCGACCGGUGCUUGCCCUGGUCAAUCUAGUGGUGAACGGGUGAGUAACACGUGGGUAACCUGCCCAUCAGAGGGGGAUAACAUCCGGAAACGGAUGCUAAAACCGCAUAGGUCUUCGAGCCGCAUGGCUUGAAGAGGAAAAGAGGCGCAAGCUUCUGCUGAUGGAUGGACCCGCGGUGCAUUAGCUAGUUGGUGAGGUAACGGCUCACCAAGGCCGUGAUGCAUAGCCGACCUGAGAGGGUGAUCGGCCACAUUGGGACUGAGACACGGCCCAAACUCCUACGGGAGGCAGCAGUAGGGAAUCUUCCGCAAUGGAUGCAAGUCUGACGGAGCAACGCCGCGUGAGUGAAGAAGGUUUUCGGAUCGUAAAACUCUGUUGUUAGAGAAGAACAAGUGCUAGAGUAACUGUUAGCGCCUUGACGGUAUCUAAACAGAAAGCCACGGCUAACUACGUG